rnacentral:rRNA from 1 species
GACGAACGCUGGCGGCGUGCUUAACACAUGCAAGUCGAACGGAAAGGCCCUGCUUUUGUGUGGUGCUCGAGUGGCGAACGGGUGAGUAACACGUGAGUAACCUGCCCUUGACUUUGGGAUAACUUCAGGGAACUGGCGCGAAUACCGGAUAGGAGAUCCUGCUGCAUGGUGGGGGUUGGAAAGUUUCGGCGGUAGGGGAUGGACUCGCGGCUUAUCAGCUUGUUGGUGGGGUAGUGGCUUACCAAGGCUUUGACGGGUAGCCGGCCUGAGCGGGUGACCGGCCACAUUGGGCCUGCGAUACGGCCCAGACUCCUACGGGAGGCAGCAGUGGGGAAUAUUGCACAAUGGGCGGAAGCCUGAUGCAGCAACGCCGCGUGCGGGAUGACGGCCUGCGGGUUGUAAACCGCUUUCGCCUGUGACGAAGCGUGAGUGACGGUAAUGGGUAAAGAAGCACCGGCUAACUACGUG